GGGAGUUGCUGCCAUGGAGACCACAAGAGUGGAGAUUUUCUGACACACAGAAAGGAAUGGAUUACAGCUCCUUCUUAUGUAAAUUUCCAUGGAGGGGAAAAAAGAUUAAAAGGAAAAUAAUUCUGCUUUAGUCGUUUUCCUUUAAGGUGAUAAGAUCCUUUGAUUCCAUCGUGGAGAAGAAGGCAACAGCUGUUUGUCACAAAUGUGGGAAGCUGCUUCUUGGGCAGGGUGGAUUUCCAUCUGCGUCUCCUUUUCGGUGUUGAAAGCUGAUGGGAAAUGUGCCAACGUCACAACAAGGUUUGAGGGAGGCACAUCUCAUGCUCGGACAUGAACACCCGAUCAUCAUGCUUAUGAACUACAAAAGGAUCUCCAGUAUGGGCUCACGGCAGUUGGCCCUUGAAUAACAUGAAUUUGAACUGCCUGAGUCUGCUAAUAUGUGGAUUAUCUUCUGCUUCUGCACCCUGAGACAGCAAGACCAACCCUUCCUCUUGCUUCUUUUCCUUAGCCUAUUCAACGUGAAGAUGACUAAGGCUCCUACCAGAGGGGAGGAUUGCAUUUGCUUUUCACGGGGAUUCAUGAAGAAGUGAACCUGUGGCUCUUGGCUUGGAGGCUGGGUACAUGAAGUGAGAAUUAGUCAUGGCCUUGUUCACAAUCUGAGAACAUUCACACUUGUUGCACCUGCUCGGAGAAGCUUGAAUUCAAUCAGCAAAUUUUGCAUUUCCCAAUCCCAGCCUGGGGAAGAGCUUGACUUUAAAAGCCUUACAAAGACCUCCUCUCCACCGCUCAGUGAUUUCAUUCAAGAAGUUGCCCCUCCAGGGAGCGAGUGACACAAGCUCUGCUGAGAGAGGCAGGAGAAAGCUGCAUCAGCCACAGUGUUUUCCCAGGCAGGGUUCUCCUGGGGUGCCCACGCUUGCCUGUUCCCAGUGUGUGCCUUCAAGCCCGAGCCGCAAAAGAGUUUUCCUUCAUGAAAUCGACCAAGAACCAUUUAGGACACUGUUCCUUGGAAGGGACAUAUUGGGAUGCCAGGUUCUUGGCUGGAAUCAUUAAGUGAAUUUACAUCCUGAUCUGCUGCACGUGAAACAUCUAUCCGGAUAGGAGAGGCUUUAGCUGGGUCUUGGAUCCUUAUGUUUUGGGGUACUUUGUUUCUCCUUUGUGCUAUCUGUUGGCAUUCCCAAUUGCUGGGCAAUUAUUCCUGUAUUUCUUAUGUUCUCUCUUACCUUUCGGCCUCUACCUAGAAAAAUUGCCCCCUCUUCUUCUCCCAUCCUCCAUACCAGCCCUUUAGCUUUCAGUUUCUACACCAUUCUCCCUAGAAAUCUCUCUUGACCCCCAAAGAUUUUUGGAUGGUUUCUUUUCCUUCAGCAUCGUGUACUUGCCUCCAGUAUGAGGCUUCUAACACUUGGGUUACCUUGGCCUGUCUCUGUGUCUAUGUCUGCCUGGAAAAUGACCUGCAGGCCCCCAGGGACUGUGUUGUUUGUUUAAGGCUAUAACCCUGGGGGCCUGGCCAAAAAACGUACGCAUUAAUAAACAAAAUGAAUAAAUGGAUAAAAGAA
ensembl:lncRNA LINC01151 long intergenic non-protein coding RNA 1151